GUUUAAUCUCAUCUGGGAUGUCGGGUCUCUGGUAAAGAUGUCAAUGAAAAGUCAAUGUGUCAUGCAGGGUUGCUGCAGCUGGUAUUUCAACAAAACCAAGAAAAUCAUCGAUGUUAUCAUCUGGGUGACAAGUGGAUUUCCUUGCAGACUGCAUCACGUCUUUAAAGUACCUAUUCAAUAAAAUAAAUCAGUUCACAUGA